GAUGAAGAACGUAGCGAAAUGCGAUAAGUAAUGUGAAUUGCAGAAUUCAGUGAAUCAUCGAAUCUUUGAACGCACAUUGCGCCCGCUAGUAUUCUGGCGGGCAUGCCUGUUCGAGCGUCAUUUCAACCAUCAAGCCCUGCUUGUGUUGGGGUCCUGCGGCUGCCCGCAGGCCCUGAAAACCAGUGGCGGGCUCGCUAGUCACACCGAGCGCAGUAGCACAUCUCGCUCAGGGCGUGCGGCGGGUUCUUGCCGUAAAACACCCCCUUUUUACCAAGGUUGACCUCGGAUCAGGUAGGAAUACCCACUGAACUUAAGCAUAUCAAUAAGCGGAGGA
rnacentral:misc_RNA from 1 species